CCCUAAUCUAUGGAUUUCACAUGACUGGGAUUACAGAUAUGCAUCUGUUGGACACAGACGCCUUCUAAAAAAGGUAGGGGUGUGGAUCAGAAAACCAGUCCGUAUCUGGUGUGAGCACCAUUUGCCUCAUGCAGCCCGCCACAUCUUCACAGAGAGUUGAUCAGGCUGUUGAUCCACUCCUCUCCCAUAGGGCGGCCCACAAUUGGCCCAGUGUCGUCCGGGUUAUGGGUUGGCCGGCGUAGGCCGUCAUUGUAAAUAAGAAUUUGUUCUUAGCUGACUUGCCUAGAUAAAUAAACAAUUCAAUGGCUGUGUGAAUUUGCUGGAUAGCCCUGCUGGAAAAUCCAGCUUAGAACCGUAGCGGUGCGUGGUACAAUCACUGGCAUAACUCCCCCUCCCCUCAUGCCGUGCGACCGUGAGAUAUAGGCCUAAAGGCCAGGACAAUAAGAAGACACAGCGACAGAAUGAAUUCAACUAUACAUUUGUUUUAUUUUAUUUAAGUAGGCAAGUUAGUUCAGAACAAAAUCUUAUUUUACAAUGGCGGCUUACCCCCCCGGCCAAACCCUCCCGUAACCUAGAUGACGCUGGGCCAAUUGUGCGCCGCCGUAUGGGACUCCAGAUCACGGCCAGUUGUGAUACAGCCCGGGAUCGAACCAGGGUCUGUAGUGAUGCCUCUAGCACUGAGAUGCAGUGCCUUAGACUGCUGUGCCACUUGGAUAGCAACCUCUGUCCAGUGAAGUCCACAAAGCAUAUUGCAUGUACAGCAACAGAAAAUUACAUGACCUACAGCAUGGUCAAGCAAGUUAAUGUUUACGACAUUUUCGGACUACUAAACAACUAUUGAUUUAGAACCAUAGAGAGUUACCGCAAGUCACAAAGAAAACAGGAGCUUCCUCCACUAUUCCAGCACCAUUUCAACUUCAACAUUUCAUCCUCAUCAAAAUCACCUCGGCUUAGUCUAAUACAGUAACAACUAAAAUAUACCAAAAACAAUUUAGUCCAAUCAACAUCAGCUAAAUAUGAUGUGGGUGUCCAUGUUUCUGAUUUAUGUGUGUGUGUGUGUGCGUUCGCGCAAGUAGAAAAACAUGUUGACUCAUGAAACAGUCUAUCACUCUGUCAUACAGUACACACUUUUAUUAUUUGUUGUCCUAGGCUACCUGGUUAAAAUUAUUGCUGGCUAGCCUAACUUCCAAUCAUGGGCAAUGUUAGCUAGUUAACAUUAGCCUCCUACAUCUAAUUUCCAUCCUCUCGAGCCAGGGGCACAACAAUGUAUGAAUUAAUUGUUGGAUCAGAAUCGCCGUUAUAAUCAUUGGCCAGUAUGGAUCCCUAUCUCCAUCCAUCGUUCAUUUAGGAAAGGGCCAAUUUUAGUUAGCUGGCUAGCUAGCCAUCGGAGGACAACAACACAACAAGAUGCAACAAUUUAAGUUUUUCUGUCAAUGAUGUAUGCGCUCAAUGGGAUUUGAUCGGAACGACGCCAAAUCCAAGCUGGCUUCCCUUGACAAUUUUUUGGGGUGUGCCAGGACCAUUCACAUUUGAGCUUGCUUAGUUUAGCUCAACAAUGAUUGGCACAUUUUUUAUACUUUUUUUUAAUCAAGGGAGGCCAGAUGCUCGCUGGCUUCCCUUGCCUUCAACGCUACAGCCGGCAACAAUGUCAUACUGGUUUGGACCAGACAGCACCAGAUAGAUGGCCUACACGUAGAGACAGAGGGGCGCUGUUUCACUCGCUCAGAUCCUAUGAGAUACAUCAAAUCAAAUUGUAUUUGUCACAUGCGCCGAAUACAACAGGUGUAGGCCUUAAAGUGAAAUGCUUACUUACAAGCCCUUAACCAACAAUGCAGUUCAAGAAAGAGUUAAGAAAAUAUUUACUAAAUAAACUAAAGUAAAAAAUUAAAUCAAAAGUAACACAACAAAAUAUCAAUAACCAGGCUAUAUACAGGUUAAUGUAUACAUUAAGUCUCUUGCGAAUUAAAGGAAAAGUAUCUAUUCUAGGUAUUCUAUUGUUUACAAAAAUUAUUACAACGUCUGAUUGUUGUGGCUACUAAUCUUAGAUGUCAAAUUAGCCACUUGAUGCUUGAAUGAAUGUUGACUGCAUUGUACACACUUGGCAAACAGUCUUGGAGAGGAGGGCAGGGUUACCUGGUGUAUACUACAGGUGAGUCUUGGAGAGGAGGGCAGGGUUACCUGGUGUAUACUACAGGUGAGUCUUGGAGAGGUGGGGUAGGAUUACCUGGUAUAUACUACAGGUGAGUCUUGGAGAGGAGGGUAGGAUUACCUGGAAUAUACUACAAGUGAGUCUUGGAGAGGAGGGCAGGGUUACUUGGUAUAUACUACAAGUGAGUCUUGGAGAGGAGGGCAGGGUUACCUGGUAUAUACUACAGGUGAGUCUUGGAGAGGAGGGCAGGGUUACCUGGUAUAUACUACAGGUGUGUCUUGGAGAGGAGUGUAGGAUUACCUGGUAUAUACUACAGGUGAGUCUUGGAGAGGUGGGGUAGGAUUACCUGGUGUAUACUACAGGUGAGUCUUGGAGAGGAGGGCAGGGUUACCUGGUAUAUACUACAGGUGAGUCUUGGAGAGGAGGGCAGGGUUACCUGGUAUAUACAAGUGAGUCUUGGAGAGGAGGGUAG
rnacentral:lncRNA from 1 species